UCAAGCGAACAAGGGCGCAGGGCGAAUGCCUUGGCACUGGGAGCCGAUGAAAGACGUGAUAAGCUGCGAUAAGCUUCGGGGAGCUGCAAAUAAGCAUUGAUCCGGAGAUUUCUGAAUGAGGAAACUCACCUGGGUUCAUACUCAGGUACGUUAUACUGAACUUAAAAAUAGGUAUAUCGAGGGAACCGCCUGAACUGAAACAUCUAAGUAGGGCGAGGAAGAGACAUCAAACGAGAUUCCGUAAGUAGUGGCGAGCGAACGCGGAAGAGGGCAAACCGGAAGUAGAAAUACUUCCGGGGUACGGACUGCUUUUAGGACUUAAUCUGUUAACCGAACGGCAUGGGAAGGCCGGUCAGAGAGUGUGAGAACCACGUAGGUGAAAACGACAAGAGCUGAGCGAGUUCCAGAGUACGGCCAGACACGUGAAACCUGGUCGGAAUACGGGGGGACCACCCUCCAACCCUAAAUACUACCCAGUGACCGAUAGCGUAUAGUACUGUGAAGGAAAGGUGAAAAGCACCCCGGGAGGGGAGUGAAAAAGAACCUGAAACCCUGUGCCUACAAGCACCUAGAGCACGUCAAUGUGUGAUAGGGUACUUUUUGUAGAACGGUCCGGCGAGCGAUUGUAUGCAGCAAGGUUAAGGACUUAAGGUCUGGAGCCGAAGCGAAAGCGAGUUUGAAAAGGGCGUUAAGUUGCAUACAAUGGGCCCGAAACCGGGUGACCUACCCAUGGUCAGGUUGAAGUGGAAGUAAAAUUCCAUGGAGGACCGAACCGACCUCCGUUGAAAAGGCGGCGGAUGAACUGUGGGUAGCGGAGAAAUUCCAAUCGAACCCGGAGAUAGCUGGUUCUCCCCGAAAUAGUUUUAGGACUAGCCUCAAGUUAGAUACCUGGAGGUAAAGCACUGAAUAGCCUAGCGGCCGAGAGGUUAGCGAAGCUUAUCAAACUCAGAAUGCCAGAGUAUUGAUGCUUGGGAGUCAGACAGUGUCAGAUAAAUGUCAUUGUCAAAAGGGAAACAGCCCAGAUCUACAGCUAAGGUCCCAAAGUCAGGUUAAGUGGAAAACGAUGUGAAGAUACGUAGACAACCAGGAUGUUGGCUCAGAAGCAGCCACACAUUCAAAGAGUGCGUAAUAGCUCACUGGUCGAGCGUCUUUGCGCGGAGAAUUUAACGGGGCUAAACCUGACACCGAAGCUUAGGCAAUACAGCAAUGUAUUGGGUAGGGGAGCGUUGUAUACGCGGUGAAACAGUAGCGCAAGCGGCUGUGGAGUGUAUAGAAGUGAGAAUGCCGGAAUGAGUAGCGCGAAUGCAGUGAGAAUCUGCAUGGCCGAAAGCCUCAGGUUUCUGGAGGAAGGUUCGUCCGCUCCAGGUUAGUCGGGAGCUAAGGUGAGGCCUAACGGCGUAGCCGAUGCACAGACGGUAGAGAUUCCGUCACCACCAAAAGAGUUAAGCACAGGGACACAUUUGAAGUCUCGGAGCCGGGUGUUGGUUCCGGUAGCGAUCGAGGGAAGUUAGUACCGAAGUCCGGGAUGGAAGAUGGCGAGAAAAGCUGUGUGUAUUUCUGCGGUGCCCGUACCGCAAACCGACACAGGUAGGUAGGAAGAAGAUUCUAAGGCCAACGGGAGAAGGGUUGUUAAGGAACUCGGCAAAUUGACCCCGUAACUUCGGGAGAAGGGGUGCUCCAGAGAUGGAGCCGCAGAGAAUCGGCCCAAGCAACUGUUUACCAAAAACACAGGUUUGUGCUAAAUCGAAAGAUGACGUAUACGAGCUGACGCCUGCCCGGUGCUGGAAGGUUAAGAGGAGAUGUGCAAGCAUUGAAUCGAAGCCCCAGUGAACGGCGGCCGUAACUAUAACGGUCCUAAGGUAGCGAAAUUCCUUGUCAGGUAAG
rnacentral:rRNA from 1 species